rnacentral:rRNA from 1 species
UGGUAAUUCUAGAGCUAAUACAUGCACCAAAGCUCCAAUCUCCCCAGAGCGGAGCGCAUUUGUUCGCCACAAAACCAAGCGCCCUCCGGGCGUCCAGUGUUGACUCAGAACAACUAAGCUGAUCGCACGGUCUUGUACCGGCGACGUGUCUUUCAAGUGUCUGCCUUAUCAACUUUCGAUGGUAGUGUAUCUGACUACCAUGGUGAUGACGGGUAACGGAGGAUAAGGGUUCGACUCCGGAGAAGGGGCCUGAGAAAUGGCCACUACGUCUAAGGAUGGCAGCAGGCGCGCAAAUUACCCACUCUCAACGCGAGGAGGUAGUGACGAGAAAUAACGAGACCGAUCUCUUAUGAGGCCGGUCAUCGGAAUGGGUACAAUUUAAACCCUUUAACGAGUAUCUAUGAGAGGGCAAGUCUGGUGCCAGCAGCCGCGGUAAUUCCAGCUCUCAAAAUGCAUAGAAUUAUUGCUGCGGUUAAAAAGCUCGUAGUUGGAUCUGUGCUAGCCGUCCGGUGCACACUUUGUGUGUUACUGGUUUGGUUGGCUUUUCUGCCGGUCUCUCCCCGGCGUUGGCCUUUACCGGUCGGCGUCGGUGGGCUGGCGAGUUUACUUUGAACA